rnacentral:lncRNA from 1 species
CACACACACACACACGUCCCAACCCCAGCUGGGCCUGGGACCUUCCACUGCUCUGAGCCCCUUUCAGCCCCCUUCCUCCUCUAGCUUUGGGAAUGAGGGGGAAGUCAUCUCAAAUUGAUUAGUGUGUUAGUACUAGUACUCGUUUUCGUUUUGGUUUUAGUUUUAUUUCCGCCACCAUUAAUAAUAAGAUAGAGAAUAAAAGUUUAUCGUGGAAAGGUGUUUCGGGUGUGGCUCUCUCUACCUCCCCACUCCCGGGGCAGCGGCCGGGGAAGGGUGGGAUCAGUACCCCAGCUGGCUGGGAGUGUCAAGGUGAGCGUCCAGCGCGGUGCAGGGCUCCUGUCAGGAAGACACAAGGCGGAACUUGUGUCCCAUUCCUGGCCAGGUCCUCAAUCCUUCUCUCAGGAAAUCUUCACGUUUAAUAGCCAACCACUCUUGGAAUAGUGGGGGUGAUUUCGGUGAUGCGAGAGGGGCACGGUCCAAAUCCUGUCUCCUACAGCCAGGCCCAGCCACCAGAACUCAUCCCUCUCCAAGCAGUGACAGAAGGGGCAGGAGGCAAAAGGAUCCCGAUCUGCUGCUAAGGGGCGCAUAGAUCCGGCGCCCUCCUGUCCCCAAGCGCGACCGGCGGGAGGCCAAAUGCAUAGCUCCAGCUCUAGGUCUGAAGGACAAGUUCCUUUCUCCCUGGCGGUGGAAUCUCGCACCACUCUAUCCCAGGUGGCCUGGCCUCGUCUUUCUCCCAGCACCUGCAGCUUCAGGAAGUCUCUGUUAAACCACAGAAUGGUCAUUUCUCCUUCAUUUAAAUGAGGUUUUGCGCAGCCCUGAAUUAUUCACCCCUGAGAUUGAACAUCAACAAUUUCUCUGUUUCUACCCUGCACCAAAGCAGUUCUGAACUCCCCAACCUGUGCAGCUAACUGUGUCCGGGAGCCAUGCGGUGAGGGCCAAGAGGAGGAAACUCGUGGUUUUGAACAUGAACUGAUUUGAGGGGGUCAGGAUCUGAGAGCUCUGAGGUUGAGCCCAGUAAGCACCAAAGGCAUUGGGCUGAAUGUGCUAGACCAGGAAGAGGGCAUAGGGGAGAGAGUAGGAACAGCCGAGGUUUCUGAGACUCCCAGCGCUCCCCUGGAGGAGAGAACCCUCUUCCCCUCCCUCCUGCCCACCCCAAGGGUCUAGCUCUCCUUAGCCACCCAGAGUUGAGUAUGGCGCCAGCGCGGUGACAGUGGCUGAGGAGCACAUGGACCCUAUCAGCCCACCCUGGGGAGCCAUGGCUGCGGAGGCCCCGACCCCUUUGCCUCCGCUGUAGGGCCAGAGAGCAUCCCUGGCUCCUAAUCCACCUGUCUAAAUGUAUCUGUCAGGAGUGACUGGCUCAUAAUUCCUGGACUCUCUAGAGAGAGCACGCGGUGGGGCCACAGACAAGAAUUACUCCUGGAAAAAGAAAAAUCAGGUUUAAAAGAAGUGAACUCUUCCUCUCCGGCGGCAUGAACACAGUACAGUCUCUGGCUCUGGGAGGUCCUGGAGACCUGGAGGAGGUUUGAGGGUCAGUGCACUGGCAGGAGGGUGCGAGAGUGGGAGCAGGGGAAGCUAUGUAGAAGAUUAGGCCUGUCCAUGACAGCGUAGGUUUGGAGUAAGGAACAGGGAAAGGGAAUGGUUUGGAUUAAAGUGGGCACGCCUAAGCCAGGAGUUCCGCGAAGGCAGCGAAGAGAGGACUAAGCACGCACAGUAUGCUCGGGGCUCCGGGGGUGCGGGGAGUGGGGACGCACCCUGCCCAGUGCUCUCCAUUGCGGAAUCUGCUAGCUUCGUCGGGCGCGAGAUACCAAGAAAGGUUGAUUUCCAGACCUUGGAGUCUCUGAGAUAAAGGAACGCCACAUCCCUGCCUCAGUCCAGUGGAUACUCGUGAUCCGGAAAAGCAGCUAAAGCCGCUUCUUCCCCCCAGUAGGUGAGGAGUCAACAGGCACACUCUAAAGACGAGGAAAUAAAGCCGGUCGUGACACCGUGAGAGCUGGUUCGCCCAACUACCCUUUCAGGGGAACGUCCACCCCACCUCUGCUGCCGAGCUUGGAAAAGUGGCAAGGAGUCGCAGUCCAGGACAAAACUCCGCCCCCGUCCCCGUGAAGGCCGCCCGUGGCUGGGGGCUACUGUAGAGGGUGGAGUUUCCCAGAGGCUACAGGAAGUACGUCAUCUUAGCAGAUCAAAUGCAGAAGCAGUUAUGAGAAUCCAGCUAUCUUCUAUUAAGCCAGACAUUAAAAUAAUUUGGGAAAGAAAGAGAGAGCAAAAUCAAUCAGAAGAAUGGAGAACUGGCUGUGCAAGGUGGCUCACGUUUGUAAUCCCAGCACUUUGAGAGGCCAAGGUGAGAGCCCAGGAGUUCAAGACCAGCCUGGACAACAUAGAGAGACCUUAUCUCUACUAAAAAAUAAAAAUAAAUUAGUUGGGCAUGGUGGUGUACACCUGUAGUCCCACCUAUUCAGGAGGCUGAGGUCAGAGGAUUGCUUGAGCCCAGGAGUUCAAGGCUACAGUGAGUUAUGACCAUACCACUGCACUCCAACCUAGGAGACAGAGUGAGACCCUGUCUCGAAAAAAGGAGGGAGGACAACAGCCUCAUAUUCCCACCACUAACUUCCCAGCCCAGCUGCAUCUGUCUCCAUGCAGCCUCCUUCCCUCCAGCUCCAUACAUAAAUUGA